GAUUAACAGUGCAUCAGUCUUCAUAAGAAGCUUACACCCUUUCGUCAUCAAAAUUCACCACACAGACAACUCAGACAUCAAAAUAAAAAUACACAGAAAACCCACACAUACAGACCAAUAUUUACUAUGGACAUCAGGGGGGGGCUAACUAGCAUGCUAACUAGCCGCUGGCUCCACUGUGCGGAGACUCAGCCGUCUGCUCGGCAUCGUCUCAGCUAAUUCGUGUCCAUGUUCAAGCCAUUGAACCUGUUCUCUCAGCCGUGUUUGUGCCUUUUGGAUAUAUUUUUCAGGCAAAUAUUGGAGUAAUAUGGCUUGCUGUUCAAUUAAUUGUACCAACAGACCAUCCAACAAGUCUGUGCUCCAGUUUUUUUGUUUUCCUCUAGGUGACCCAGACAGACUGGACCAGUGGACACUCAACACGAGAAGACAGAACUGGACUCCAAACAAGACUUCCCGUCUGUGCAGUGAACACUUUGAGAGUCAUCACUUCAGCGCUGACUCCAGGAUAAAGACACCUUUUUUUAUACAGUACCUCACAAAGAGUCAAGAAACUUAUUAGUUUAAAAUGAUGAAUUAUUGUCCAUAAUACAUUUAAAUGCAUUACAUAACUUACUAAUUGUCAUACAUUACUAAGUACUUGAUUAGGGCACAGCUUGCUCUGUACUAUUACUGAUAAGGUGAAAUUACUGACACACCAGUGCAGUUUAGUGUUCCCCUGAUGCAAAAGGCCAAAUGAAGAUUUUAUCACUCAAGGAACAUGACAUGUAUUUACCGACUUUAACAUUUUAGUGCCUUUUAUGCAAAGACCCUUUAUCAAAGUGAGAACUACUACCUUUUUACCCACACACAGUCUGUGAAGAACCAAUAGAAUAAAAUAUUCUCAUAAUGAGACAGCCGAACAUAGCAUGAUUCCACAGUGGCAGUGAGCUUUGAGAACAGUUCAGUUUCCUUUUGAUAGCAACAUUUAUUUUAAUGUGGAUGAAUUGCAUACUGUAUAUUCAUACUCCAGUUGUCUUGGUAGUACACUGUUAAAUUUAAAAUCACAUUCAAAUAUAAAGUCGAAUAUCUACGGAACUUAAACACAAAACUAUUUUAUGAAUGACAGCCACUUACUCAGCAAUAAGAUCAUUUUGGUGGUGAGUGGGCUUUUAACCAAGACAGGCUGUAGUCAGUGUUUUCUACCUGUGUUUUUAACCUGUCAUCUUUCUCUCAUGUAGUACACUUGAGGAAAGUUACAACGCCUAGGCCAAUGUGAUGUUUACUCCACAGUAAAGAGGUUGUUUUUGACACUGCGUCCUAAUCCAUAGGUUUUAUAAUUACUGUUACUGUGUACUUUUUGUAACCUUUUUUAAUAUGAAUGUUUUCAUGAAUGCAAGCUUUGACUUUGACUUGUUGACUUUGUGUAAUGGUUGUAAUUUUUGUUAUAUAAAAUGGAUCAGACAAAAUUUACUUUACAGUAAAAGCACAUUUUUUGAAAGCUGUCA